GCACACACACACAUGGCAGUGUAUAGUGUUUUGUGAGUGCAUGUGGCUGCACAAACGAGAAAUGGACAAAAGCCCAAAUAUAUUCAGACAAUGCGAAAGGAAAAAAAAAAAAAAAGUCUUGAUAGAACAACGACAAAAAAGAAUCUCGCAAACGAAGGAAUGAGCGAACACGACAACCUACGGCAAGAACGUCUGGUGCAUCUCAUUUGAAUAACAAGUCUUCGAAAAAGAAUCCGGUAAAUCCACCCAACGAAAUUUGGAGAAAACAAAAGGCAAAAAAAUAAGCAUUUGUUUUUGUUGGCUAUACCUAGUAAACACGAAAGUAUCUUUAAAAUUUGAAAGGUGACGUCACACUAUCAUCAUUCAACACAGCCUUAGGGUCAAAGAAGCAAACACGAGAGAGGAGGUCCUUCCGCACCCGGUUUUGUUUUUCUGAUGAGAUUUUCGUUUCUCUAUGUACACGAUAGACGUAAAAUAUUUAUUGCUGCUGUCAGCACGAUAGCUUAUGAAAAAUUUGGAUGGCCGGUAAAUUAACGUUUAACGGAAUGCAAAAUUUGUUGUUGUCGUCAAGUGCCGAAUCGCUUAUCUGCGAUUGUCCCGCUUACGGACGUGUAGGCAUGGAGAGGGGUGAAGAAAGCGAUAUACGUGAGUCUUAAAUUACAAACUGCUUGACCUUGGGAGUUUUCAUUUUAUCUUUUUUUUUCUAACUCCCGCGUUUAGAAAAAAAAAAAAUGACCCGUAUCGAAACGCAUAGCGGCGACUUCGGUUUCGACCAACGCCGCCAGGGACAAUAUCUCAGUAAUAACCAAAUCUCGCCAGACGAGACUGGAAUUCAAAGAAUACUGAAUACAUAAUCGUAUUUACCAAAAGUGGCGCAGUGUAGUAAGUAGACAACCGAAGACUUUAUGGAAGUUUGGUUUUUACCAAACGUUGUCUGACUUUCACUAUUGAAAAGUAGCAAAAGAAGAAAAACACGUGAAAUCAAUCAGUAGCUGGAGAGUCACGUAAAAAUAUCAUAAAGCAAUACUUGUUAAAGGCCGAGAAUUUGUCUGCGAGACACGCAUGAAAACGUGAGUUCUUUGGCACCGGGAAAACCUGGUUCUUAGAUAAAUCCUUGCCAAAAGCAUCGUUCCAUUAACACCGCGAACCGCCAGCGUGAAUCUGUUUGUAUCGAAUGUCGGUCUGUGCGUCGCCAGAAGGUCGUAUGCAUUACGAAAAAAAAAAAAAAGUAAAUAAAACACUUGAGGGCUCUAAUAUUUUUUCCCAAGCCCUCAGCAAAUAAUUUAGAAAAUGGAAACCGUAGAUAAAAACAUAUUGGGAGCUUUUUUGAUACAAACAUACGUAUAGUACCAAGAUAAUUUCUCAUGUCGCCAAUUUAAGUAAAUGGAAAUUGAGUUCAAAUCAUCUGAGAGGGCGAUAAGUAUUUGGUCUUUGCUUUAGCGUACCGCUUUCGUCGUUUUUGGAUUCUGGAUCAAGAAUGUAGGCUCGUGACGCAAUGGCUGACGACAGGUUCCAGACCGAUGGUGAUGGAUUGUUUGUUCCUUUUUCAUUGACGAUUUGUUUUAUUCUAUUCUUCUGUUCCUUUCUUUUUCUUUUACACAUAUCAAAGAAUUAACAAAAUUGCCCAAUUUGAAUGAUGAAAAGUUUUUCGUUUACUUGCCACUCAUUGCACGGGAUCGGUAUCAGGAAAUGUAUACUGGGAGCAGUGCAGGCAGACGGUCAACGCAGGAUACCGAACCGCAAUCGAAGAUGCCUCUUAAGUUAUUAUUGGCUAGCAGCAACCAAAGGAGCAUCAGUUGGACGUCUUCCAACUCUUUCGACGUCGGUCAAUUCAAGGGCGACAUUAUAUUUGGCAACAAUCUGGGGAUUCGGAUUCGGCUAAACAACGAUCAGGGUUCCUGAACAAUUCCAAUUUAGGACAUCUCUUUGAUCAUCCUAAAAAAUUCCGUUUUUUUGUGUGUGUUUUUUUUCCCCUUCUUUUAUAAAUUUAUUUUCUCAAACUACAAAGAAAAUUAACAUUUACACUUUUCUUUAUGAGGGUGAAUGUUUGUUGAUGUCGAUUGGCAAUGUUUUCUGUCGUCACAUGACUUUCCAAAGAUAUUUUUCUUCGAAAGUUAACCAUUCCCAUUCCAGGACUUCCUGGCGUCGCCAAAGGCUAUAUGUCACCGGAAAUUAUGUCGAUUAAAACAUACUUUUUUUCUAUUUGUUUAUGGGGAAUUCUCUCUCGACUACUCAGUUAACAAUCUAAAAAAUAACAGAAAAUAACACGUACAAGGGUUCGCCAACAAAAUCAGAUAAAAAGGAAGCUACCGAGGUUGAACCGUAAAUUUAUAUGAUCCCUCGUCACUUUUGCUCUCACACGACAACUGUAUAAAAUUAACCCAAAAGGCCGGAUAAGCGACCCGGCGUUAACCCAGAGAUGGAACACGGCGUUUGUUUACAUGGCCCUCAAAUAAUAAACGAUGGCUGCCCCGACCUAAAAGUGGUUCUAAAUAAACUGUAAAAGUUAUUUUCUCGCUAAGAAAUUGUAUUGAGAUCAUCACAGACCAUUAAGAGGGGGAAAUAUUUUAGAUAUUUAAGAGAAAGUUUAUCUUAUUACAAAAAAACUUGGUUCCAAAAUCCAACCAAAAUCCAACUUUUUCAAAAUCUAACUUGUUUGGUAUUCUUGACCGUUCUUGCAUGUACAUGAAUUACCAGGGUUUCAAGGUCAGUAGAAUAAUGACUAUGUCAGACAGCAUUACAAAUUCUGACCACACUUGGGGGUUCAGGAACUCAUUGCCAAUUUUUACCUAUAAACAUCAUCCAAACUUAUUAGCUUGGUCUUUGGAUUCUUUGGUCCAAUUAGUGGAUUUUAUGUGUGUCUAAAGUCUGAUGCGUGACUAUUGACUUUGUCGAACUCCCAAAACCCGCAAAGGCUAGACUUAAAACAAAAACCAUAAACAAACAAAACAAAACAAAAAACAGCUGACUUGUAUACAUUAGUUGCUGUAGCGAAAACAAACUAAUCAUGUGAUUCUCCCCUAAAAGUUGAGUUCAAAUAGAUCAAAUUAGUUACUGCACCUAAAGCCAGCAGAACUCAUCAGUUUAAUAAGAACUGACAUAAAAUAUGAAAUUGUUUAUAUAUUAUUAUUCCUACAAGUGCUACAAAAGAUAUAGUAUUUAUCACAAACUUGUCUAAUGGUAACAUUCUUUUUAUCCCUAGCAUACUUUCGCAAAAUUGCUCAGCCACAUUUAAAUCUGGAAUGGUAAUCACUAAUUUAGUCAUAUUUGUCCAGCGAUUCUCGUGUUGACUUGACUUAUUUCGGUUCUGCGCCCAGUGGGGGCGCUCUUGGGCCAGCUGAUUAUAGCGAUUCUCGUCUAUUUUGUUUAUUCGCACAACUAUUGAUAUCACCUUACGGCAUGCCUUUCGGGCACUAAAAGCAAAGUACAGAGUCUUAUCAGUGUCUGAGAAGUGAGAAAGCAAUUUCUAUCAGUUAAGAUUUAUUGAAGCUAACUUGAAGGUCAAAAACGUCAUAAUAACUGCAAUGGUUAGCCUUACAACUCUAGCCUUGCAAAACUUAGCCUUCAGGAAACAAAAUUACUGCAAUAAACUUUUUAAAACAAGAGGCAAGAAAUUAUUUGAGUGCUACAUCAUAUUUGCAAGUUAUUUCAGUUUUUAUUCACUGUCACACAAUGUUUUUUUUUCUUCAGGUACAGCUUCUAUAGUAGUAGCCGGGCCAGUGUAGAUCGUGUACGCAUCGUCGUGUACUAGGUACACGGGGUUUAUAUGGGACUACCACGAAUUAAUAAAUUCAUCUUUAAGAAAAAAAAUAAUUUUACUAAAACAAAAUCUGAUUUAAAUGUAGAAUUGCUUUCUUAAUACAACACAUUUUAUUAAAAUGAUUUUUUUUAUUUCUAAAUAAUUAUUAAAAAUAAGAAAAAAGCCUAGGUAGACUUAGGCGACAGCAGUACAUUUUGUGGCACUAGAAGAUUUUUUAAAAAGGGGCGGUCCUUUGACUUGUUUAUUUUAUUCUGACAAGUGCAUUAAAUGAGAAUAGGUAUUAGGUUCAGACCCAAUCUGAUUCUUGCCUUUUUUUUCAGUCAUAGCACCAUUUUAUACAAUAUUUACAUUAAAUAAACGAAAAUUUCAAAAAAUAAUUACAUUGCAUUUGUAUUCAAACAACAAAGAAAAAAUUUGAAAAUAAACUUAAAACACAAUUGUUUAUGUUUAGUGAAGUAUUUGAAAAAACGGCAUGUUUAUAUUGUUAAGAAAUGAGGGGAAGGGAACAGCUUAGAUGGGUGUCUUUUGAGAACCGCUCGGUCUAUUUCCUAACUUUAGCAGACACACACACAGUCUGAAUCACGCAUUACCGCGUUUAAACCGGUGCCUGCAUUACCGCAGCGCACCACGAACACACCGGUGCCUGCAUUACCGCAGCGCACUACGAACGGUCGCAUUACCACGACCGUCCGGACCUGGCCAUGCUUGUUGGCAUUCCAGCACCAGCAAUUUACACAACAGAAACACACAUUCACGCUGGCCAUGCUUGUUGGCAUUCCAGCACCAGUAAAGUAGACACUGAUACUACAACACAAACACAUGACACCAGAGACUGUUGAGUCCGGCUGGUUUCACACCGAGGGUAAGACUGCCCCAAUUACAAAGGAGAAGAUGGGGAAGAACAAAGGGAGUAGGAAGUCGUCACGUCGACGAAGAGGGAAAGUCGGCCAAAGGUCGAAGACGCUCACAUAACGUUACAAUAUUUUGAAAAAUGUUGUUCUUCGACACCAGUAGAACGCGCUGAAGUCCAUUCCAAGUUGAAAAAAAGGAGGUAGGGAGUGCGUCAAAACGAUUGAACGGGCGAGAUAGGGAACCUUCAGGCUAUUACAUUCAGUAUCAUUCAGUAUCAUUCAGUAUUAUAUGAUCAGAAAUACAUCAACUCCAGAAAUAACAUUCUAAUUGGAAAUUGUGGAAAUUUUUGCUCUUUGCGAUAAUCUGCACAAUGCUGGCUUUGUGCAUGUGUAAACAAGCUGGUAAUUACCUAUUGACAGUAUUUUUAACUUACAUUUUACUUUCAUAUGCAGCUCUAUGACAACCUGCCACAUGGCUUGUCAUCAGUGGCUAUGGACUUGUGAUGACUCUUGAGGCAGAAAUAUUUUCCUGCUUCCUGCAAGCUAUUAGUGCUAAUCUGAACAAAGCUUGCUUCACACAAACAAACUUUCUUUAACCAGUGAAGAGUAUUUUUGGCUAACACUUGGCCUUUACAUGGAGCUGAAUGGCAAAUGUAAAUGUAAACAAAACCAUUUUUGAACAGAUAACUAAGCAGCAUGAAAAAAAAACUUGUCCCUUAAUCAAAUUGGUGGCUAUAGACUUCCUUCAGAUGACCCUUGAAGCAGAAAUGUUUUCCUGCUUCUUGGAUAAAGGAAUGUUGGGUGCUUUGAUGUCCAGUGCCAACUAAGAGUCAUUGGGAAGAUCAAGAAAAAUUUUAAGGUGUUUGACAAAACCAUAUUCAUGGCAGUUAAGUAAUUCAUUUGGUAUGCUUGUAUAUUGGCAGGAAAUAGAUAUAAUUCUAUAGGUUGGAGGAUGGUACAUUUGUAUCUCGUUGCUUCAAGAACAUAUUCUUUAAUGCCGUGUUGAUACAAGGCAUUAAAGAAUAACUUAACUAUAAUAACUAUAACUUUUACAACUUUUUACAUAUUAAGGUUUCACAAUAUAUUUAUAAUUAUAAAUACAGGAUGGAUGAUCUGCAUCUGCUGAUAGGAGGAGGUUGAACAUCAGGAAGAUUCUACUGAUGUAAAACAAAAAAGUAAGGCGGUAGUUUUUGUGUAUUGUGCCUUACAAAAAACAGGUAUUAAUCUGAUAUGCAAGUUGAGUUUCCCAUGCUGUUUAACUUUUUACAUAAACUUUGUUUUCAUACUGGUUUCACACUUACAUCCAUAUUUUUUUGUUCAUUAGGAAAGAAGUUCAAGCCUAUAUUCACCAGGAACAUUUCUACCAGACAUGCGAGUUGCCUACAAGUUUAAUAAUUGAUCUUGUGUAUGGUGCAAUCAUGGAUUGGGAUUGAAAACGCCGUUCCUAAAGCUCGUGUCGAUGAGAGAUGAAAAUAAUGAAGUCCCUUAGAUUUUCGAGGGGGAUUCCUAACCUAACCUACAUCGGCGGGAAAUGGGGGUCAUGCCCCUACUGUGAUCAGAGUUAUUUGGACAUCACUGUGCUUGAAAUCGAACCCUUGACUUUGGAUGCACUGUGUCGAUACUCAACCAUUGAGACGUGAGUUUGACACUAAAUGACUUGUAUUUCUCCUUGUCAUCUAGAGGCACGUGAAUAGUGAGUGAAUGUGUAUAUAUAUAUCUAUGUGUUGAUUGGCAAAUGAAUCUAGUGGAUUGGGUUUCAAUUCCUAGGAGAAUGAAACCAGAAAUAAUUAUAUAUUAAUAAUUUAUAAUCGGUAUCUGGACCGGAUCUGGACUGGAAUCUCGAAAAUUAGAAAAAAGAGUAUUAGCAAAAUGAAAAAUUCAUUGGAUUUUGUUAAUUUUUGAUUUAUUUUCCUUUUGUAUUGGCUUUUCUUACCAAAGAUUCAUUCCAUGCAAUCAGACAUGCCGUGAGCGCGCUCAACUCGUAUUCCUUUUGAGGUGGGAAUCAAGAUAAUCAAGUCGAAAUCAAAUUAAUUUUUCAAAUAACCAUAUAAUUUGUAAACUAAACGUAAAAAUUAAAAAAUGAAGUUUGGCACUAA